rnacentral:rRNA from 1 species
UACGUAGGGGGCAAGCGUUAUCCGGAUUUACUGGGUGUAAAGGGAGCGUAGACGGCACUGCAAGUCUGGAGUGAAAGCCCGAGGCCCAACCACGGGACUGCUCUGGAAACUGGGUGUCUUGAGGGCAGGAGAGGAAAGUGGAAUUCCUAGUGUAGCGGUGAAAUGCGUAGAUAUUAGGAGGAACACCAGUGGCGAAGGCGACUUUCUGGACUGUACCUGACGCUGAGGCGCGAAAGCGUGGGUAGCGAACGGG